UUUCCCAUUUUUCAUUCGGAUCUCUGCUUCGAUUCCUUUGGAAGGAACUGAAACAUUGCUCGGUUUCUCAAUGCGGUUUCACGGACAAUUUAUUGUUGGAUUAAAAUAAACCGAAAGCCGGGAAAAAGAUUAGUUUGACGUUUGAUGGGUGUAUAAAGUCGAUGAUACUCUCCUCGCAAGGUUUAGAUUUACUGCGAUCCACUUUUAUGCUCCAUCUUGCUCAGUCAGACGCUUUCCUCUCGGUUAUUCACCUCGAGAUCUGUCCAGAACGACCCUGUUUCUCGUCUUUGCUUACAGAUUAAUUUUGCUUCCUUUACGAAACGGCGAAUAAACCGACGACUCGACGCUAAGGGUAGACGAGACGAUUCAAGAAACCCGAUGAAGAAGCGAGAUGUUGUACUUUGAAGGACAUACAAGUUCCUUUUUCCUCGAGAAACUUGUCUUCUUCGUCGAAAGAACAGGAAUUUCAAUUAAAAAUGAAAAAAAAAAAAAAAGAAAAGAAAGGCUCCUAACGAGGACAAGAGUACCCUUUUCUAGAUGACUAUUUAUCUAACAUACCGGAAAAAGAGCAAAAUACUGGUUUUGAUUAAAAA